CGCAAAAGUCUUGCACAAAGCACGAAACGGCGCCCGACGCGCACUCGACGCGCCAUCGCGCAACCGACUGCCACGGCGCAUGGGCCUCUUCCCAAUAGGUGCCAUCGAGGGCAACCUCGGCGCCGUAGAGAAGGCUCCCUCUGUAAUAAUCUCCAACGCGCAUAGUGCCGUGGGCGGUCUUUCUCCCUGGUCCAUGGGCCGACGGACCAUCGCCAUGGACGAUGGCAUGCGCGCGAUACACCCACUGCCAAUCCUUGCCCAUGGCAAAGGCGUGUCCGAGCGGCGCAGGGAGACCGACAGCGGGUUCGCGCAGAGGCGGCAUGAGCGAUGCAGCAUCACCAUGAUCGUAAAGGAAGCGUGCCUCGGGCGGCCACGCCUCGGGCGCGAGCCAGCCGGAAGGCGGCACCAUCGUUGGGUCGAUAGCGAUGUACAGGCGGGCGAAAUCCUGUAUGAAUAGAAAGCGCCACAAAGAAAGAUCG
rnacentral:lncRNA from 1 species